AGAAUCUCUGUCCAUGAGAGCCUGCUUCCUGGUUCACGGAUAGCUGUCUUCUCACCGUGUCCUCACAUGGUGAAGGGGUGAAGGAUCCCUCUGGGAGCUCUCCUUUGUAAUAACACUAAUAUUAUUCCAAAGGGCUCUACUCUCAUGACCUAAUCACCUCCCAAAGGCUCCAUCUCUAAGUACCAUCAAGCUGGGGGAAUAGAUUUCACCACAUAAAUUUGGGGAGGACAUAGACAUUUAGUCUACAGCAUGCGGGAUUCAUGAAAUCACUAAAAUUAUGUGUCAAGUGUUUGCUUAUGUUUAUUUUUUGAAGAUCCACAGCUUUCCUAAGAAUUUUGAGUACAUAAUGAAUAAAAUUGGAGAUUCUAUUGUCAGAAUCUCGUACAGUGGUUCUUAAAAUGUGAUUGGUGAAGGAGUGGGGAGUCCCCUGAGAUACUUUCGGGUGGUUCAAGAAGUGAAAUCUACUUCCGUAGUAACACUAAGAUGAUCUUUUCCCUUUUCAUUUCCAUUCACUAAUGAAUGUGCAGUAGAAUUUUCUAGAAGCUCCAAGAAGUCUUAUAUCAUAACAGAUACAUAUAGAAGCAGAUAUGAGAAUCUAAUUAUCUUCUGCUAAACCAGACGUUAAAGAUAGUUGCAAAAAUGUGAAACAAUGUCAUUCUUCUUACUAAUUUUUUCGUUCUGAAAAAUAUAGUUAUUUUUCAAAAAGCUAUUUAUAUGAACAUACAAUAAGUUUAUUAUUGUUAUUUUGAAAUUAAUAUAUGUAUCUAUUUUAAAUUUCUUGGUUUAAAUUCUAAUACGCUAAAUAUAACAGAUAAAGCCUACACAAACAAAAGCUCUUCAGAGUCCUCAAUAACUUUAUAAGUGUCAAGGACUCUUGAGAUUAAAAUGUUUGAGAAAUGCUGACCUAGUGCCUUUACUAAGGUACAUUAAUCUGUAGUAGUAAACAUAGCCUGCCUUGCUAUUAACUUUACACAAAGAGAUUUAUGCCUCUCUCACCUAAUUGUCUAAGUCGGUGUUCAUGUUAGCAGGGUAACUCUCUAACAUAUGGUAAUUCAGAGAUUCAAGCUGGUGAUGUGGCUUUGCCAUCUUCAACACUUGACUUUCAUAUUUGUCAGACAUUGACAUCCUAGUCACAUGGAAAAGGAAAGGAGCACAGAGGAAGAGCAGUAGGUAAUUGUUGCCAGAAACCCGGAAGUGUCACUUAUCAUGUUCACUCAUUGGUUCACUCAUUCCAUUCCGUUGGUUAGAACUCAGUUUCCUGGCCAACGCCAACUGCACUGAAGGCUGGGAAAUGUUACCCAGCUGUGUGUCCAGGAAGAAACAAAAGGCGAAAAGUGUCAGAGGAAAAUACAUUUUCACUUGAACUGAGCAGAUGGAAGGAAUGACUACUUAAGAGUUGGAAAAUUUGGAGGGCUUUAUCCUAAAUAAAACAUGAAUACCAUGGAAUUCAA